rnacentral:rRNA from 1 species
CCUACGGGAGGCAGCAGUGGGGAAUUUUGGACAAUGGGCGCAAGCCUGAUCCAGCAAUGCCGCGUGAGUGAAGAAGGCCUUCGGGUUGUAAAGCUCUUUUGUCAGGGAAGAAACGGUCUACUCUAAUACAGUGGGCUAAUGACGGUACCUGAAGAAUAAGCACCGGCUAACUACGUGCCAGCAGCCGCGGUAAUACGUAGGGUGCAAGCGUUAAUCGGAAUUACUGGGCGUAAAGCGUGCGCAGGCGGUUAUAUAAGUCAGAUGUGAAAUCCCCGGGCUCAACCUGGGAACUGCAUUUGAGACUGUAUGGCUAGAGUGUGUCAGAGGGGGGUAGAAUUCCACGUGUAGCAGUGAAAUGCGUAGAUAUGUGGAGGAAUACCGAUGGCGAAGGCAGCCCCCUGGGAUAACACUGACGCUCAUGCACGAAAGCGUGGGGAGCAAACAGGAUUAGAUACCCUGGUAGUCCACGCCCUAAACGAUGUCUACUAGUUGUCGGGACUUAAUUGUCUUGGUAACGCAGCUACGCGUGAGUAGACCGCCGUCGGGAGGUACGGUCGCGAGAAGUUAAAACGUUAAAAGUAAAGUUAGUACGGCGUGAGACGUAGACGACGGACGACGACGAGGGAGGAGG